rnacentral:tRNA from 1 species
GUGUUUGUAACUCAAUUGGAUAGAGUAUUAAACUACGAAUUUAAAGGUUGAAAGUUCGAAUCUUUCCAAACACU